CCGCAUAAGACCACAGCACCGCAUGGUGCAGGGGUAAAAACUCCGGUGGUACAGGAUGGACCCGCGUCUGAUUAGCUGGUUGGUGAGGUAACGGCUCACCAAGGCGACGAUCAGUAGCCGGCUUGAGAGAGUGGACGGCCACAUUGGGACUGAGACACGGCCCAAACUCCUACGGGAGGCAGCAGUGGGGAAUAUUGCACAAUGGGGGGAACCCUGAUGCAGCGACGCCGCGUGAGUGAAGAAGUAUUUCGGUAUGUAAAGCUCUAUCAGCAGGGAAGAAAAUGACGGUACCUGACUAAGAAGCCCCGGCUAACUACGUGCCAGCAGCCGCGGUAAUACGUAGGGGGCAAGCGUUAUCCGGAAUUACUGGGUGUAAAGGGUGCGUAGGUGGUAUGGCAAGUCAGAAGUGAAAACCCAGGGCUUAACUCUGGGACUGCUUUUGAAACUGUCAGACUGGAGUGCAGGAGAGGUAAGCGGAAUUCCUAGUGUAGCGGUGAAAUGCGUAGAUAUUAGGAGGAACAUCAGUGGCGAAGGCGGCUUACUGGACUGAAACUGACACUGAGGCACGAAAGCGUGGGGAGCAAACAGGAUUAGAUACCCUGGUAGUCCACGCCGU
rnacentral:rRNA from 1 species